UGANGCUGGNGGCGCNCCUAACACAUGCAAGUCGAACGGCACCUGCCCUCGGGCAGAAGCGAGUGGCGAACGGCUGAGUAACACGUGGAGAACCUGCCCCCUCCCCCGGGAUAGCCGCCCGAAAGGACGGGUAAUACCGGAUACCCCGGGGUGCCGCAUGGCACCCCGGCUAAAGCCCCGACGGGAGGGGAUGGCUCCGCGGCCCAUCAGGUAGACGGCGGGGUGACGGCCCACCGUGCCGACAACGGGUAGCCGGGUUGAGAGACCGACCGGCCAGAUUGGGACUGAGACACGGCCCAGACUCCUACGGGAGGCAGCAGUGGGGAAUCUUGCGCAAUGGGGGGAACCCUGACGCAGCGACGCCGCGUGCGGGACGGAGGCCUUCGGGUCGUAAACCGCUUUCAGCAGGGAAGAGUCAAGACUGUACCUGCAGAAGAAGCCCCGGCUAACUACGUGCCAGCAGCCGCGGUAAUACGUAGGGGGCGAGCGUU
rnacentral:rRNA from 1 species